ensembl:lncRNA
AAACUUUGUUAGGUGACUCAAUAAGUGACUACUGUGGUGCCAGAACACUGAUAAAGAAGACUAAUGUGAAGUGUUCGUGUUAACUUCUAUUGUUAAGGAUUUAGAAAAUCCUUGUAUUUAGAAAUAAUAAGAAAGCAAGAAGAGGACUAUAUGUCCUUUCAAUGUAGUAAUGAAACAGUAUUCAACAAGCCCACCCCCAGAAUUAUUUAAUCAUUUAAUUCAGUAGGAAAAUUUACCUGUAUUUAACCUGGCUAUUUGCUAUGAAUUUGACUCUAUGUAACCCCAUGGACUGUAGCCCACCAGGCUCCUCUGUCCAUGGGAUUUACCAGGCAAGAAUACUGGAGUGGGUUGCCAUUUCCCUCUCUAAGAUACUGUGCAGUUACAUGUAAAUUUGUAGAUUUUUGUUUGGUAGAGAUGUAAAUAAUUAUGUCUAAUAGGAAAGAUAAUGAUUAUUAUUUCAUUGCCCUGUAAAACAUUAACUUGUUUUAUAUCUAACCUAGCAAUCUUUUCUUUUCCCCUAGAAAUAACCAGUUUGUCAAAUGCUCUUGGAACCAGCUUUACCAUCCUACCUGUUCUUUCAUCAGUUAAAAUAAAAUCAUUGACAAGAGUUCAUUCUAUAUAGCUUCACAGAUGCUUUCUGAGCCCUUCAAAAUAUCUCCUGCAAGACUCAGAAUGUGACCUUGGUCUGAAAGACGCAC